GACGAACGCUGGCGGCGCGCCUAACACAUUGCAAGUUCGAACGAGCGAGAGAGAGCUUGCUUUCUCGAGCGAGUUGGCGAACGGGUGAGUAACGCGUGAGGAACCUGCCUCAAAGAGGGGGACAACAGUUGGAAACGACUGCUAAUACCGCAUAAGCCCACGGGUCGGCAUCGACCAGAGGGAAAAGGAGCAAUCCGCUUUGAGAUGGCCUCGCGUCCGAUUAGCUAGUUGGUGAGGUAAUGGCCCACCAAGGCGACGAUCGGUAGCCGGACUGAGAGGUUGAACGGCCACAUUGGGACUGAGACACGGCCCAGACUCCUACGGGAGGCAGCAGUGGGGAAUAUUGCACAAUGGGGGAAACCCUGAUGCAGCGACGCCGCGUGGAGGAAGAAGGUCUUCGGAUUGUAAACUCCUGUUGUUGGGGAAGAUAAUGACGGUACCCAACAAGGAAGUGACGGCUAACUACGUGCCAGCAGCCGCGGUAAAACGUAGGUCACAAGCGUUGUCCGGAAUUACUGGGUGUAAAGGGAGCGCAGGCGGGAAGACAAGUUGGAAGUGAAAUCUAUGGGCUCAACCCAUAAACUGCUUUCAAAACUGUUUUUCUUGAGUAGUGCAGAGGUAGGCGGAAUUCCCGGUGUAGCGGUGGAAUGCGUAGAUAUCGGGAGGAACACCAGUGGCGAAGGCGGCCUACUGGGCACCAACUGACGCUGAGGCUCGAAAGUGUGGGUAGCAAACAGGAUUAGAUACCCUGGUAGUCCACACCGUAAACGAUGAUUACUAGGUGUUGGAGGAUUGACCCCUUCAGUGCCGCAGUUAACACAAUAAGUAAUCCACCUGGGGAGUACGACCGCAAGGUUGAAACUCAAAGGAAUUGACGGGGGCCCGCACAAGCAGUGGAGUAUGUGGUUUAAUUCGACGCAACGCGAAGAACCUUACCAAGUCUUGACAUCCCUUGACAGACAUAGAAAUAUGUAUUCUCUUCGGAGCAAGGAGACAGGUGGUGCAUGGUUGUCGUCAGCUCGUGUCGUGAGAUGUUGGGUUAAGUCCCGCAACGAGCGCAACCCUUAUGGUCAGUUACUACGCAAGAGGACUCUGGCCAGACUGCCGUUGACAAAACGGAGGAAGGUGGGGAUGACGUCAAAUCAUCAUGCCCUUUAUGACUUGGGCUACACACGUACUACAAUGGCGUUAAACAAAGAGAAGCAAGACCGCGAGGUGGAGCAAAACUCAGAAACAAUGUCCCAGUUCGGACUGCAGGCUGCAACUCGCCUGCACGAAGUCGGAAUUGCUAGUAAUCGUGGAUCAGCAUGCCACGGUGAAUACGUUCCCGGGCCU
rnacentral:rRNA from 1 species